AUUGAACGCUGGCGGCAUGCCUUACACAUGCAAGUCGAACGGUAACAGGUCUUUCGGGAUGCUGACGAGUGGCGAACGGGUGAGUAAUACAUCGGAACGUGCCUAGUAGUGGGGGAUAACUACUCGAAAGAGUGGCUAAUACCGCAUGAGAUCUAUGGAUGAAAGCAGGGGACCUUCGGGCCUUGUGCUACUUGAGCGGCCGAUGGCAGAUUAGGUAGUUGGUGGGAUAAAAGCUUACCAAGCCUGCGAUCUGUAGCUGGUCUGAGAGGACGAUCAGCCACACUGGGACUGAGACACGGCCCAGACUCCUACGGGAGGCAGCAGUGGGGAAUUUUGGACAAUGGGGGAAACCCUGAUCCAGCAAUGCCGCGUGCAGGAUGAAGGCCUUCGGGUUGUAAACUGCUUUUGUACGGAACGAAAAGUCUUGGGUUAAUACCCUGGGAUCAUGACGGUACCGUAAGAAUAAGCACCGGCUGACUACGUGCCAGCAGCCGCGGUAACAC
rnacentral:rRNA from 1 species